GGUACAUAGCUCAAUUGGAAGAGUUCUUGCUUCACAUGCACAGGGCCCUAGGUUCAAUCCCCAGUACCA
rnacentral:tRNA from 1 species